rnacentral:rRNA from 1 species
UACGGAGGGUGCAAGCGUUAAUCGGAAUUACUGGGCGUAAAGCGUGCGCAGGCGGUUAUGUAAGACAGUUGUGAGAUCCCCGGGCUCAACCUGGGAACUGCAUCUGUGACUGCAUAGCUAGAGUACGGUAGAGGGGGAUGGAAUUCCGCGUGUAGCAGUGAAAUGCGUAGAUAUGCGGAGGAACACCGAUGGCGAAGGCAAUCCCCUGGACCUGUACUGACGCUCAUGCACGAAAGCGUGGGGAGCAAACAGG